GCUUUGUGCACGGGAACAUUGUCAUGCUGAUACCGGAAAGGGCUUUCCCCAUACUGUUGCCACAAAGUUGGAAGCACAGAACCGUCUAGAAUGUCAUUGUAUGCUGUAGCGUUAAGAUUUUCCUUCACUGGAACUAAGGGGCCUAGGCCGAACCAUGAAAAACGGCCCCAGACCAUUAUUCCUCCUCCACCAAACUUUACAGUUGGCACUAUGCAUUCGGGCAGGUAGCGUUCUCCUGGCAUCCACCAAACUGAGAUUUGUCCGUCAGACUGAUUUAUCAUUCAAGAGAACACGUUUCCACUGCUCCAUUGCUCCUAGACGUUUCCACUUCACAAUAACAGCACUCCCAGUUGACAAGGGUAGCUUUAGCAGGGCAGAAAUUUGACAAACCGACUUGUUGGAAAAGUGCCAUCCUAUGACCAUGCCACGUUGAAAGUCAUGCAGCUGUUCAGUAAGGCCAUUCUACUACCAAUGUUUGUCUAUGGUUGGGUUGAAUGCAGAAGACACGUUUCGUUUGAAUGCAUUCAGCUGUGCAACUGACUAGGUUUCCCCUUCCCCACUCCUUCUCCAGCUGAGUUCGCACCUGUUUGUGGCGACUGACACCUCUCCUGUACUUCUGGUGUGCUCUGAGGAUGGAACUCAUGUGCUGUGUGCUUCAGUGUGGGUGGACAUGGUGGCUCGGUGGGUGACCAGCUCCCUCACAAUGGUGUGAAGCUCGGUCAGUGGUCUCUCCCCUGCUCUCCAGCCAAUGGCACCUCUGGAGGGCUGUGCUGUUGAUGGGUC
ensembl:lncRNA